AUUGAACGCUGGCGGAAUGCUUUACACAUGCAAGUCGAACGGCAGCACGGACUUCGGUCUGGUGGCGAGUGGCGAACGGGUGAGUAAUGUAUCGGAACGUGCCCAGUCGUGGGGGAUAACGUAGUGAAAAUUACGCUAAUACCGCACACGAUCUAUGGAUGAAAGCGGGGGAUCGCAAGACCUCGCGCGAUUGGAGCGACCGAUAUCAGAUUAGGUAGUUGGUGGGGUAAAGGCCCACCAAGCCAACGAUCUGUAGCUGGUCUGAGAGGACGACCAGCCACACUGGAACUGAGACACGGUCCAGACUCCUACGGGAGGCGGCAGUGGGGAAUUUUGGACAAUGGGCGAAAGCCUGAUCCAGCCAUUCCGCGUGCAGGAUGAAGGCCCUCGGGCUGUAAACUGCUUUUGUACAGAACGAAAAGGUUUCUACUAAUACUAGGAGCUCAUGACGGUACUGUAAGAAUAAGCACCGGCUAACUACGUGCCAGCAGCCGCCGUAA
rnacentral:rRNA from 1 species